AGGCUGCACCCCGAGGAACCCUGAGCAGCCAUGAGCUCAUUGCUGUCAGACAGAGUGACAGAGCUCCACGUGGCCAGGUUGUUGAGUCUGCGCUCCUGGCUCCCCUGUGACUCACCUGGGACCCAUGGGGGCCCCAGCAGGGACUCAGACUGCAGCAGCAGGAGUGGGUCUGGAGCCCUGACCCGCCUUUCCUCAGGAGAGCAUCAGCAGGACCUUGCCGGACCACCUGCAUGGUGAUUGUCAGAAUGACCUGAUGAACUCCAUCUGCGGCUCCGGCUGGGGGGUCCCCCCGGCCACUUUGACCUGUGGAACGUCACUCCUGCCGUCGCCUUCACGACCGGAGGCAUCCACCUCAGGGCUGCACCCCAGCGACUGCCCCUGGGGC